rnacentral:misc_RNA from 2 species
AGUCGUAACAAGGUCUCCGUUGGUGAACCAGCGGAGGGAUCAUUACAGAGUUACUACUCCAAAACCCAUUGUGAACCUUACCUAUGUUCUGUUGCCUCGGCGGCGUGGUCAGCGCCCCCUCUGAAAAGAGGACGAUGCCCUCCCGCCGGCAGCACCAAACUCUUGAAUUUUACAGCGGAUUACAGUUCUGAUUUGAAAAGAAAAAACAAGUUAAAACUUUCAACAACGGAUCUCUUGGUUCUGGCAUCGAUGAAGAACGCAGCGAAAUGCGAUAAGUAAUGUGAAUUGCAGAAUUCAGUGAAUCAUCGAAUCUUUGAACGCACAUUGCGCCCGGCAGUAAUCUGCCGGGCAUGCCUGUCCGAGCGUCAUUUCAACCCUCGAACCUCCGUUUCCUCAGGGAAGCUCAGGGUCGGUGUUGGGGCGCUACGGCGAGUCUUCGCGACCCUCCGUAGGCCCUGAAAUACAGUGGCGGUCCCGCCGCGGUUGCCUUCUGCGUAGUAAGUCUCUUUUGCAAGCUCGCAUUGGGUCCCGGCGGAGGCCUGCCGUCAAACCACCUAUAACUCCAGAUGGUUUGACCUCGGAUCAGGUAGGGUUACCCGCUGAACUUAAGCAUAUCAAUAA